rnacentral:siRNA from 1 species
ACUCGCAGAUGCCGGAGCCCACU